rnacentral:rRNA from 1 species
UACGAAAGGCCCAAACGUUAUUCGGAUUUACUGGGCUUAAAGAGUUCGUAGGCGGUCCGUCAAGUGGGGUGUGAAAGCCCUCGGCUCAACCGAGGAAUUGCGCUCCAAACUGUCGGGCUCGAGGGAGAUAGAGGUGAGCGGAACUGAUGGUGGAGCGGUGAAAUGCGUUGAUAUCAUCAGGAACACCAGAGGCGAAGGCGGCUCACUGGGUCUUUUCUGACGCUGAGGGACGAAAGCCAGGGUAGCGAACGGG